GUGAAUCAUCGAAUUUUUGAACGCAAAUUGCACUCUCUUCGGAGAGUAUGCCUGUUUGAGGGUCAGUAUUAAUAAAAAUCGGUUUGUUGCUUCUUUGUGACGCUCCGGAGUUUGAGUCGUCUUACUAUCCUUUAUGUUUUAAGAGCCUUAAAAUUAACUUUUUUUGCGCAUUUUAAAUUUACAUAAAUUCUUUUUUUAUUCGUAUAUUCUUAAUGCCAAAAUCUUAUUAGAGUCGAUCACAUCGUGUGGCUUCGUGACUAU
rnacentral:misc_RNA from 1 species